rnacentral:rRNA from 1 species
GGCCGCAAGGUUAAAACUCAAAUGAAAUGACGGGGGCCCGCACAAGCGGUGGAGCAUGUGGUUUAAUUCGAUGCAACGCGAAGAACCUUACCUGGUCUUGACAUCCACAGAACUUUCCAGAGAUGGAUUGGUGCCUUCGGGAACUGUGAGACAGGUGCUGCAUGGCUGUCGUCAGCUCGUGUUGUGAAAUGUUGGGUUAAGUCCCGCAACGAGCGCAACCCUUAUCCUUUGUUGCCAGCGAUUAGGUCGGGAACU